UUUACGACAGCACCAGCGUCUUUACGGCCGCCGCUUUCUCACAACAUCAGACAACAUGGCUGCUGCGGAGCCGCGUCCCGCUGCUGGAGCGGUGUUGGCGGAGAACCAGGAGAGCUCUGCGGCGGAGACAGAUGCCGGGCCACCGGGAGCCGCCCCCCGGGACAAGCCCGUGUGUCUCAUCGUCCUCGGCAUGGCGGGGUCCGGGAAGACCACCUUCGUCCAGCGGCUGACUGCUCAUCUCCACUCUGUGAAAGCUCCCCCGUACGUCAUCAACCUGGACCCGGCCGUCCACGAGGUCCCGUUCCCCGCCAACAUCGACAUCAGAGACACUGUGAACUACAAGGAGGUGAUGAAGCAGUACGGCCUCGGACCGAACGGGGGCAUCGUGACAUCACUCAACCUGUUCGCCACACGCUUUGAUCAGGUGAUGCAUUUCUUGGAGAAGAAGCAGCAGAGCCACCGCUACGUGCUGAUCGACACGCCGGGUCAGAUCGAAGUCUUCACCUGGUCAGCGUCUGGGACCAUCAUCACAGAGACUCUGGCCUCGUCUUUCCCCUGCGUGGUGAUCUAUGUGAUGGACACGUCCCGCAGCGUCAGCCCCGUCACCUUCAUGUCCAACAUGCUGUAUGCCUGCAGUAUCCUCUACAAGACCAAGCUGCCUUUCAUCGUCGCCAUGAACAAAACCGACAUCAUCGACCACAGCUUCGCGGUGGAGUGGAUGCAGGACUUUGAGGUGUUCCAGGACGCUUUGAACCAGGAGACGUCUUACGUCAGCAACCUGACGCGCUCCAUGAGCCUGGUGCUGGACGAGUUCUACGCCCACCUGAGGGUGGUGGGCGUGUCCGCGGUGACAGGGAGCGGCUUGGACGAGCUGUUCGUCCAGGUGGAGGACGCCGCUGAUGAAUACGAGAGGGAGUAUCGACCUGAGUACGAAAGACUCCGCAAACAGCUGGCGGAGGCUCAGAGCAGGAAGCAGCAGGAGCAGCUGAAGCGACUCAGGAAGGACCUGGGAGCCGUCGACAUGGCGACCGCAGCACCAACAGAGGCAGCUGACACGCCCAGCUCCAGUGACCUCAUCAUGUCACGCGGUAACCCUGACGACAGCGAGGAGGACGAGGACAGCGACACGGACGACAUUGAUCACAGCGCAACGGAGGAAAGCAAAGAGGUCGACGCCUUUGGAAACUUCCUGAAGGAGAGGAAGGAAGUGGUUCAGGUCCGAAACAGAAAGUGUGCCGUGCCCGAUGACCCCUGACCUCACUGUCUGGACCGAAGACACUGACUGUACAUCUGAACUCUAUGAAGCUGCACUUCCUGUCUGAUCAGCUGGUAGGAGCUGAAGAGCUGAGUCACUUCCCCCGCAUGGAAGGAGAGGAGGUGGAACAGAACCACUACUUUUAGGCCCCCUGUGGACCAUCUGCUAGCCCCUCCUCCUUCAGGCAAACCCAAAAGCUCAGGACAUUUCAUGACCUACACAAGCUGCUCAGAUGGUCCAACUCCUCCAUGCUGCCGUUGGAUGUCCCCCACUGAUGUCCAACAUUGAAGUCUUUUGUCCAAAGUGACUUACAAUAAGUCCAUUUCACCCACACGGAAACAAACCCAGAAGAACAAAGUGCCGUUUCAUCACAGAAGUCCACUUACAUCUUAAUGUCCAGCUAAAUGUCCACCAGGGAUUUCCAGCACAUUGUGAGUUUCAGAAAUGGCAUUUUAGCAAAUGGAUCAUCAACCCACAUCAUUCUUUCACUUUGAUGUGCAGGGUGUCUGAAAUGAAGACAUUAAACCGUCCACAUCAAUAAAUAUCCAUCAUUUUUCAGCACAUUGA